rnacentral:rRNA from 1 species
UUAACAAAAACAUGUCCUUUUGAUUAUAAUUUAAGGUCUGAUCUGCCCAAUGAUAUAAAUUAAAUGGCCGCGAUAUUUUGAUCGUGCGAAGGUAGCAUAAUCAUUAGUUUUUUAAUUGAAAGCUGGUAUGAAGGAUUGGACGAGAAAUUUUCUGUCUCAAUUUAGUAUUUUGAAUUUUAUUUUUGAGUUAAAAAGCUUAAAUUCGAUUGAAAGACGAGAAGACCCUAUAGAGUUUGAUAAUUUAUUAUUUAUAUAGAUUUUGGAAUUAUAUCUUUUUAAUUAUUAAAUUAUUUAGUUGGGGUGACUGAGAAAUUAGUUAAACUUUUUUUUGUUUAGAUAUUUAUUUAUAGGUUAUUGACUUAAAUUUUUAGUUAAAAGAUUAAAUUACCUUAGGGAUAACAGCGUAAUUUUUCUUGAGAGUUCUUAUCGAAAGAAAAGAUUGCGACCUCGAUGUUGGAUUAAAGUUUAAUUUUGGUGUAGAAGCUAUAAUGUCUGGUCUGUUCGACCAUUAAAACUUUACAUGAUCUGAGUUUAAACCGGCGUGAGCCAGGUUGGUUUCUAUCUUCAAUGUUUUAAAAUAUUUUAGUACGAAAGGACCAAAUAUUGUUUAAAUUAAUUUUUAUUUGAAUAUAAUU